rnacentral:rRNA from 1 species
GAUGAACGCUGGCGGCGUGCCUAAUACAUGCAAGUCGAGCGAACGGACGAGAAGCUUGCUUCUCUGAUGUUAGCGGCGGACGUGUGAGUAAAACGUGGUUAACCUACCUAUAAGACUGGGAUAACUUCGGGAAACCGGAGCUAAUACCGGAUAAUAUUUUGAACCGCAUGGUUCAAAAGUUAAAGACGUUCUUGCUGUCACCUAUACAUGUAUCCGCGCUGCAUUAGCUAGUUGGUAAGGUAACGGCUUACCAAGGCAACAAUGCCUAGCCGACCGGUGAAGGUGAUCGGGCACACUGGAACUGAGACACGGUCCAGAGUCCUACGGGAGGCAGCGGUAGCGACUCUUCCGCAAUGGGGGAAAGCCUGAAGGAGCAACGCCGCGUGAAUGAUGAAGGUCUUCGGAUCGUAAAACUCUGUUAUUAGGGAAGAACAUAUGUAUAAGUAACUGUGCACAUCUUGACGGUACCUAAACAGAAAGCCCCGGCUAACUACGUG